rnacentral:rRNA from 1 species
UACGUAGGGUGCAAGCGUUAAUCGGAAUUACUGGGCGUAAAGCGCACGCAGGCGGUCCGUUAAGUUUGGAGUGACAGUUGGUGGCUCAACCACCAAAGUGCUUUGAAAACUGGCAGACUUGAGGGCUUCAGAGGGACACGGAAUUCCGGGUGGAGUGGUGAAAUGCGUAGAGAUCCGGAGGAACACCAAAGGCGAAGGCAGGUUACUGGUACGCAACUGACGCUGGAGGCACGAAAGCGUGGGGAGCAAACAGG